rnacentral:rRNA from 1 species
CACGGGUGAGUAACACGUAUCCAACCUGCCGUCUACUCUUGGCCAGCCUUCUGAAAGGAAGAUUAAUCCAGGAUGGCAUCAUGAGUUCACAUGUCCGCAUGAUUAAAGGUAUUCCGGUAGACGAUGGGGAUGCGUUCCAUUAGAUAGUAGGCGGGGUAACGGCCCACCUAGUCUUCGAUGGAUAGGGGUUCUGAGAGGAAGGUCCCCCACAUUGGUACUGAGACACGGACCAA